rnacentral:rRNA from 1 species
UACGUAGGGUGCGAGCGUUGUCCGGAAUUAUUGGGCGUAAAGAGCUUGUAGGUGGCUCGUCGCGUCGGGAGUGAAACCCGCGGCUUAACCGCGGGCCUGCUUUCGAUACGGGCGGGCUAGAGUUCGGCAGGGGAGACUUGGAAUUCCUGGUGUAGCGGUGGAAUGCGCAGAUAUCAGGAGGAACACCGGUGGCGAAGGCGGGUCUCUGGGCCGAUACUGACACUGAGAAGCGAAAGCGUGGGGAGCGAACAGG